AACGAACGCUGGCGGCAUGCCUAAUACAUGCAAGUCGAACGAUCACUUCGGUGGUAGUGGCGCACGGGUGCGUAACGCGUGGGAAUCUGCCCUUGGGUUCGGAAUAACUUCGGGAAACUGAAGCUAAUACCGGAUGAUGACGAAAGUCCAAAGAUUUAUCGCCCAAGGAUGAGCCCGCGUAGGAUUAGGUAGUUGGUGGGGUAAAGGCCUACCAAGCCUACGAUCCUUAGCUGGUCUGAGAGGAUGAUCAGCCACACUGGGACUGAGACACGGCCCAGACUCCUACGGGAGGCAGCAGUAGGGAAUAUUGGACAAUGGGGGAAACCCUGAUCCAGCAAUGCCGCGUGAGUGAUGAAGGCCUUAGGGUUGUAAAGCUCUUUUACCCGGGAUGAUAAUGACAGUACCGGGAGAAUAAGCCCCGGCUAACUCCGUGCCAGCAGCCGCCGUAA
rnacentral:rRNA from 1 species